GAUAGCUUUAGAUGCAGCAGAGGGUUUAUCUUACCUGCACCAUGAUUGUGUUCCUCCAAUUGUUCAUCGGGAUGUGAAGUCGAACAACAUAUUGUUAGAUGGAGAGUUUGGUGCUAGAAUCGCAGAUUUUGGAGUUGCUAAAGCUGUACAAGGAAUUAACAAGGGAACAGAAUCCAUGUCUGUGAUUGCUGGUUCUUGUGGUUACCUUGCACCAGAAUAUGCCUAUACUGUCAGGGUGAAUGAGAAGAGUGACAUCUAUAGUUUUGGAGUAGUCAUAUUGGAGUUGGUAACAGGCAGGCUGCCUAUAGAUCCAGAAUUUGGAGAGAAAGACUUGGUGAAA
rnacentral:misc_RNA from 1 species